UGGGGAAUCUUGGACAAUGGGGGCAACCCUGAUCCAGCCAUGCCGCGUGAGUGAUGAAGGCCUUAGGGUCGUAAAGCUCUUUCGCCUGUGAAGAUAAUGACGGUAGCAGGUAAAGAAACCCCGGCUAACUCCGUGCCAGCAGCCGCGGUAAUACGGAGGGGGUUAGCGUUGUUCGGAAUUACUGGGCGUAAAGCGCACGUAGGCGGACCAGAAAGUUGGGGGUGAAAUCCCGGGGGCUCAACCCCGGAACUGCCUCCAAAACUAUUGGUCUAGAGUUCGAGAGAGGUGAGUGGAAUUCCAAGUGUAGAGGUGAAAUUCGUAGAUAUUUGGAGGAACACCAGUGGCGAAGGCGGCUCACUGGCUCGAUACUGACGCUGAGGUGCGAAAGUGUGGGGAGCAAAACAGGAUUAGAUACCCCUGGUAGUCCACACCGUAAAACGAUGAAUGCCAGUCGUCGGGUAGCAUGCUAUUCGGUGACACACCUAACGGAUUAAGCAUUCCGCCUGGGGAGUACGGUCGCAAGAUUAAAA
rnacentral:rRNA from 1 species